AAAAAAACUUGAUUAGAAGGAGAAACCACUAAGAACUGGAGCCAGAAGCAUGCCAGAGAAGUAGUCAGGGAGGGCCGUGGUCCCCCCCAGAAGCAGGUAGUGCCCUCCGUAGACCCAGAAUCCAGGGUGGUACCACCCAUAUACCUCUGGCACCACCACACAGGUUUACAGGGCCCAAGAGAGGACCCUUCCUGAGGAGAGAGCCAUGCUUAGCCAGGGGAAUGGACUGCUAGAGUACAUAUUAGGUCCUAUCCUAUAAAGUCCCUUUUUAUUUUUACCCUCAAAGCCCCUUCCAGAAAGUACCCCCUGUACAUUAAGGAGAUCAGUGCAAGAGUCUCAGAGGGACUGAGAUGCCUGUCAUGGGAUUGAGGUCUGGUUGGCAGGAAAGACGGGGGGUGAGGCUUUGCCAGGGCAGUCAUGGCUAGGUGAAGGCUGGGAGAACCCCCAGGAAGCUAUUGGGGCCCUUCCUGGUGUUGGGGUGAGGAGAGGAGGAGGGUGGCACGGUUUACCCAGUGGAAAGCAGCUAAGCAUGGC
rnacentral:lncRNA from 1 species